UAUAAAUUCAGCUUUGCAGCCCUAUGAGGAAGAUCUUGACCAGCCGGGAUCACAGGACCUGUUGGAAUCUGCGAUGGCAAGAAAGGGUAAUAGUUGUUUCCUUUUUCAGAUCUUAACCCAUAUCGGCCUCUUCCCACUUCUAGGACCGCUCCAGUGUCCCUCAGGAAAUCCAGACCAGCAAUAAGAGGAAAUGCGAGGUGAGUGUCUUUUAGGAUAUAAGUAUCCAAACUGCAAUCUUGGUCAUGCCAUUGAAUCUUAAUCCUUUGCAGAUCUCUGGACUGGUGAAUCGUGCCGUCCGCCAUUAUGAACCUCUGUGGACUGGAGGUAACAACUGAGGGAAUCUCACCUUUCAACUGUUUCCACAGGCUUUCUUGCAUUAAAGUGUAAGUGCUACCUGUGUCUAAUACAGCCUUCACUUCUUUGCCAUUCACCCUUACAGGCACCAUCAGGAGAGAGGACAUGGGAUGGGGUUGUGCUAGUGUUACUCCAGCCAGGUUUUUUGGAAAGACAUAGGGCCCGGUAGUCAUAUGCAAAGUCCCUCAGGCGCUGUUGUGGCUGCUGAACCAUUGUCCUCAGCUUUUCCUCCACUUCUGAGAGCUCAGAGCAGGUCCCUUCAGCACCGUGCUCAAGGUUCCUAGGAGUUCAGUACUGGGAAGGGGCCGGAUCUCCAGGAAGUUCUCACAUUGUUCGAUAAAGUUGAGCACCUCCGCCGUAUCACA